AUUGAACGCUGGCGGCAGGCCUAACACAUGCAAGUCGAACGAGUGGCGGACGGGUGAGUAAUGUCUGGGAAACUGCCUGAUGGAGGGGGAUAACUACUGGAAACGGUAGCUAAUACCGCAUACCAUCAGAUGUGCCCAGAUGGGAUUCGCUUGUUGGUGGGGUAACGGCUCACCCAGGCGACGAUCCCUAGCUGGUCUGAGAGGAUGACCAGCCAAUCUGGAACGGAACAACGGUCCAGACUCCUACGGGAGGUAGGAGGGGGGAAGAUUGCACAAUGGGCUCAAGCCGGAUACAGCCAUGCCGCGUGGAUGAAGAAGGCCUUCGGGUUGUAAAGUACUUUCAGCGGGGAGGCGUUACCCGCAGAAGAAGCACCGGCUAACUCCGUGCCAGCAGCCGCGGUAAUUC
rnacentral:rRNA from 1 species